UUGUCUUUUAAUUAAGGACUGGAAUGAAAGGUUUGACUAUGUAUUUCUGUCUUAUGAUAAUAUUUUGAAAUUUAUAUUUUAGUAAAAAAGCUAAAAUUAUCUAUAGGGACGAGAAGACCCUAUCAAGUUUUACAAUCCAAAAUUUAUUUUCAAAUUAAAUUUUAAAUUGUUUUGCUGGGGCAGCAGAUAAAAAUUUUUUAUUUUAAAAUUAUGAUAAAUAAAUCUUGAAAAAUCAAAAAAUUUUUAAUUAAAAAUAAAUUACUGUAGGGAUAACAGCAUAAUUUUUUUAGAGAGUUCUUAUCAUCAAAAAAGUUUGUGACCUCGAUGUUGGAUUAAAAUUCCUGAUUCGUGCAAUAAUGAAAUAA
rnacentral:rRNA from 1 species